rnacentral:rRNA from 1 species
AUUGAACGCUGGCGGCAUGCUUUACACAUGCAAGUCGAACGGUAACAGGCCGCAAGGUGCUGACGAGUGGCGAACGGGUGCGUAAUGCAUCGGAACGUGCCCAGUCGUGGGGGAUAACUACUCGAAAGAGUAGCUAAUACCGCAUACGAUCUAUGGAUGAAAGCGGGGGACCGUAAGGCCUCGCGCGAUUGGAGCGGCCGAUGUCAGAUUAGGUAGUUGGUGGGGUAAAGGCUCACCAAGCCAACGAUCUGUAGCUGGUCUGAGAGGACGACCAGCCACACUGGGACUGAGACACGGCCCAGACUCCUACGGGAGGCAGCAGUGGGGAAUUUUGGACAAUGGGCGCAAGCCUGAUCCAGCAAUGCCGCGUGCAGGAAGAUGGCCUUCGGGUUGUAAACUGCUUUUGUACGGAACGAAACGGCUCUGGUUAAUACCCGGGGCUAAUGACGGUACCGUAAGAAUAAGCACCGGCUAACUACGUG